rnacentral:snRNA from 1 species
GUGCUCGCUUCAUCAGCACAUAUACUAAAAUUGGAACUAUACAGAGAAGAUUAGUGUGGCCCUUGCACAAGCAUGAUACGCAAAUUCAUGAAGCGUUCCAUAUUAAA